rnacentral:rRNA from 1 species
CGUGUAGGCGGAUUCGCAAGUCAAAUGUGAAAACCGGCGGCUUAACCUCCGGCGUGCAUUUGAAACUGCAGAUCUUGAGUACGGAAGAGGAGAGUGGAAUUCCAGGUGUAGCGGUGACAUGCGUAGAUAUCUGGAAGAACACCGGUGGCGAAGGCGGCUCUCUGGUCCGAUACUGACGCUGAGGCGCGAAAGCUAGGGGAGCAAACAGGAUUAGAUACCCUGGUAGUCC